AACGAACGCUGGCGGCAGGCCUAACACAUGCAAGUCGAACGCUCCGCAAGGAGAGUGGCAGACGGGUGAGUAACACGUGGGAAUCUUCCUAUCGGUACGGAAUAGCUCAGGGAAACUUGAGGUAAUACCGCAUACGCCCUUCGGGGGAAAGAUUUAUCGCCGAUAGAUGAGCCCGCGUCUGAUUAGCUAGUUGGUGGGGUAAUGGCCUACCAAGGCGACGAUCAGUAGCUGGUCUGAGAGGAUGACCAGCCACACUGGGACUGAGACACGGCCCAGACUCCUACGGGAGGCAGCAGUGGGGGAUAUUGGACAAUGGGCGCAAGCCUGAUCCAGCCAUGCCGCGUGAGUGACGAAGGUCUUCGGAUUGUAAAGCUCUUUUGCCAGGGACGAUAAUGACGGUACCUGGAGAAUAAGCCCCGGCUAACUUCGUGCCAGCCGCCGCCGUAACAC
rnacentral:rRNA from 1 species